rnacentral:rRNA from 1 species
CGCAGCCUACGGGACGCAGCAGUGAGGAAUAUUGGUCAAUGGCCGAGAGGCUGAACCAGCCAAGUCGCGUGAGGGAUGACGGCCCUACGGGUUGUAAACCUCUUUUGUCGGGGAGCAAGACCCGCCACGAGUGGCGGAGCGAGAGUACCCGAAGAAAAAGCAUCGGCUAACUCCGUGCCAGCAGCCGCGGUAAUACGGAGGAUGCGAGCGUUAUCCGGAUUUAUUGGGUUUAAAGGGUGCGCAGGCGGACCCUCACGUCAGCGGUAAAAUCGUGGGGCCCAACCCCAUCCCGCCGUUGGAACUGG